rnacentral:rRNA from 1 species
AGAGGGGGCAAGCGUUGUUCGGAAUUAUUGGGCGUAAAGGGCGCGUAGGCGGCCAUCCAAGUCGGAUGUGAAAUCCCUCGGCUCAACCGAGGAACUGCACUCGAUACUGGUUGGCUCGAGUCCGGGAGGGGAUGGUGGAAUUCCCAGUGUAGCGGUGAAAUGCGUAGAUAUUGGGAAGAACACCGGUGGCGAAGGCGACCAUCUGGACCGGAACUGACGCUGAGGCGCGAAAGCCAGGGGAGCGAAUGGGAUUAGAUACCCCGGUAGUCCUGGCUGUAAACGAUGGGCACUUGGUGUGGCGGGUACUGACCCCCGCCGUGYCGAARCUAACGCGUUAAKUGCCCCGCCUGGGGAGUACGGUCGCAAGGCUG